rnacentral:rRNA from 1 species
UACGUAGGGGGCGAGCGUUGUCCGGAUUUAUUGGGCGUAAAGAGCUCGUAGGCGGUUUGGUAAGUUGGAUGUGAAAUCUCCGGGCUCAACUUGGAGGGGUCAUUCGAUACUGCCAUGACUAGAGUUCGGUAGGGGAGUGUGGAAUUCCUGGUGGAGCGGUGAAAUGCGCAGAUAUCAGGAGGAACACCGGUGGCGAAGGCGGGUCUCUGGGCCGAUACUGACGCUGAGGAGCGAAAGCGUGGGGAGCAAACAGG